GACGAACGCUGGCGGCGUGCCUAAUACAUGCAAGUUGAGCGCUGAAGGUUGGUACUUGUACCAACUGGAUGAGCAGCGAACGGGUGAGUAACGCGUGGGGAAUCUGCCUUUGAGCGGGGGACAACAUUUGGAAACGAAUGCUAAUACCGCAUAAAAACUUUAAACACAAGUUUUAAGUUUGAAAGAUGCAAUUGCAUCACUCAAAGAUGAUCCCGCGUUGUAUUAGCUAGUUGGUGAGGUAAAGGCUCACCAAGGCGAUGAUACAUAGCCGACCUGAGAGGGUGAUCGGCCACAUUGGGACUGAGACACGGCCCAAACUCCUACGGGAGGCAGCAAUAGGGAAUCUUCGGCAAUGGACGAAAGUCUAACCGAGCAACGCCGCGUGAGUGAAGAAGGUUUUCGGAUCGUAAAACUCUGUUGGUAGAGAAGAACGUUGGUGAGAGUGGAAAGCUCAUCAAGUGACGGUAACUACCCAGAAAGGGACGGCUAACUACGUG
rnacentral:rRNA from 1 species